GUCGGCAGCUAGCUCUCUGUGACUCUCACAUGGUCAACCACUGAAGCUAAGCUAGGCUGCGCCCGUUCAGUACCUGGAUGGGAGACCACAUGGGAAAGCUAGGUUGCUGCCGAAA
ensembl:rRNA 5S_rRNA 5S ribosomal RNA